AUGAACGCUAGCGGCAGGCUUAACACAUGCAAGUCGAGGGCAGCGUGGAGCAGCAAUGCUCUGACGGCGACCGGCGGAAGGGUGCGUAACACGUGAGCGACUUGCCCGUCACGAGGGGGAUAACCGGCGGAAACGGCGACUAAUACCCCCAUACGAUGCGAUGCUGCAUGGCAUUGCAUUGAAAGAUUCAUCGGUGGCGGAUAGGCUCGCGGGACAUUAGCUAGACGGCGGGGCAACGGCCCACCGUGGCGACGAUGUCUAGGGGUUCUGAGAGGAAGGCCCCCCACACUGGGACUGAGACACGGCCCAGACUCCUACGGGAGGCAGCAGUGAGGAAUAUUGGUCAAUGGGCGGAAGCCUGAACCAGCCAUGCCGCGUGAAGGACUAAGGCCCUACGGGUCGUAAACUUCUUUAGACGCAGAGCAAUAAGGUCCACGUGUGGACCGAUGAGAGUAUGCGUAGAAUAAGCAUCGGCUAACUCCGUG
rnacentral:rRNA from 1 species